rnacentral:rRNA from 1 species
UACAGAGACCUCAAGCGUUAUCCGGAUUUAUUGGGCGUAAAGCGUCCGCAGGUGGUUUGGCAAGUCAGGGGUUAAAACCUAACGCUCAACGUUAGGACUGCCUUUGAUACUACCGAACUAGAGAUCGGAAGAGGUGAGCGGAAUUCUCGGUGUAGUCGUAAUAAGCGUUGAUAUCGAGAAGAACACCAAAUGCGAAGGCAGCUCACUGGUACGUUUCUGACACUCAUGGACGAAAGCGUGGGGAGCAAACAGGAUUAGAAACCCCGGUAGU